AUUGAACGCUGGCGGCAUGCUUUACACAUGCAAGUCGAACGGCAGCACGGGUGCUUGCACCUGGUGGCGAGUGGCGAACGGGUGAGUAAUGCAUCGGAACGUGCCUAUUAGUGGGGGAUAACGCUUCGAAAGGAGUGCUAAUACCGCAUAAUCUCUGAGGAGGAAAGCGGGGGACCUUAGGGCCUCGCGCUGAUAGAGCGGCCGAUGUCGGAUUAGCUAGUUGGUGAGGUAAAGGCUCACCAAGGCGACGAUCCGUAGCGGGUCUGAGAGGACGACCAGCCACACUGGGACUGAGACACGGCCCAGACUCCUACGGGAGGCAGCAGUGGGGAAUUUUGGACAAUGGGCGCAAGCCUGAUCCAGCAAUGCCGCGUGCAGGAGAAGGCCUUCGGGUUGUAAACUGCUUUUGUACGGAACGAAAAGGCUCUGGUUAAUACCUGGGGCUCAUGACGGUACCGUAAGAAUAAGCACCGG
rnacentral:rRNA from 1 species